UACGUAGGGUGCAAGCGUUGUCCGGAAUUAUUGGGCGUAAAGAGCUCGUAGGCGGUUUGUCGCGUCUGCUGUGAAAAUCCAGGGCUUAACCCUGGACCUGCAGUGGGUACGGGCAGACUAGAGUGCGGUAGGGGAGAUCGGAAUUCCUGGUGUAGCGGUGAAAUGCGCAGGAAUAUCAGGAGGAACACCGGUGGCGAAGGCGGAUCUCUGGGCCGUAACUGACGCUGAGGAGCGAAAGCAUGGGAGCGAACAG
rnacentral:rRNA from 1 species